GCGACCUGGCACAGGAAUGCUAAAUUGCAAAUUCCAAGAAAAACUUGCAUAUACAUUAUUGAAAGAGAAAAAAUUUAAAAGCCACACUUUACAGCCCAGACCCAGAAGAGAUUAACCAAAGUGCCACCUAAAUUUUCUACGUGGACUUCAGGGUGCAAAAAAAUAAACAUUUAUGUUGCAAACUUCCUUUCUAAGACAGCAAAGGGACAUUUUCUAAUCCACAGAGUUAAAGGAACACUAUACUGUAGCUGUAUUCCUAACACUCUAAUGUCCAUCUUCCCCUGUGGCCCCCAUGGCAGCAAUGAAUAGGUUACUAAACCUUUAAUCACUUAACUGAUCCCUGCACCAGGAUCCCACUGCACUGGCACCUUCUCUGCCUCCUCCAAUGUCAGUGCGAGGGGGAACUUAAUAAAACCAGGCUUCCCUCUGGGGAUUUGCAAGAAGCUAAACAGUCCAAGAGGACAAGACCAAUAUUUAUAUACAAAGUGAAUACAAAGGGGCAUAAUGUCACAUGUAAACUCAUUAAUCCCUUAACCAUUGGGAACCUCGUAUGUGGUUUCUCAUUCCAGUGCUGAAAAGAGGUUAGCACUUUUUGGUGUCUUAGAAAACACGAUUUUCAGUUUUAUUGUUUGGGUUUUUUGGUGGAAUCUCCAUAAAUCCUCUUUUUUUCCCAGCAGACUUUGUUCUGUCAAAACAUGCCUUUCGCUU